rnacentral:rRNA from 1 species
AUGACUCUCGGCAACGGAUAUCUCGGCUCUUGCAUCGAUGAAGAACGUAGCGAAAUGCGAUACUUGGUGUGAAUUGCAGAAUCCCGUGAACCAUCGAGUCUUUGAACGCAAGUUGCGCCUGAAGCCAUUAGGUUGAGGGCACGCCUGCCUGGGUGUCACAC